GAUAUAUAUAAUAUAUGACGAUCCAUACGGCUAAAUAUGAUCUUGGCUAUGUUAACUUUAUAUGUUUGAAAUUUUAUGAUUUUACGAUAUUAUUUAUCUUGUGAUCAAGUGGUCUCAAAUUCACUAUGUAUAUUAACCAUUAAAAAUUAUUAUUUUUUAAUUUUUAAAUCAUUAAAUAGUAAGCAAAUGAUGCCAUAAAAUCAAGAACUUUUAAAUUCAAAAAGUUCAAAUAGUGUACAUUAAGUUUAGCAGUGUGGAUCAUCAAGCCGAUUUUCCCAUCGCUAGAAACAACGUGAUAAGAAAUUUCUCUAUUUACUUUCAAAAGUAGUCCAGCUGGAUAUAUACACGUAUAGUUUGACAACUUAAAAAAAAAAGGAAAACUUUAAAAAACCUCCUUGUGGUUUCGCACUUUUUUAUUUUAGUACUCUGUGGUUUAAAGUGUAUCAAGUUAGCACCAUGUGGUUUCUCAUUUUAUCACUUUAGUACUCUGUAGUUUAAAAUGUAUCAAGUUAGUAUUCUGUGGUUUUAUUUUUGUAUCAAGUUAGUACUCUGUGAUUUUAUUUUUGUAUUAAGUUAGUACCCUAUGAUUUUUAAACCACAGAGUACUAAAGUGAUAAAGUGCGAAACCACAGGGUACUAAAGUGAUAUAGUGCGAAACCACAUGGUACUAACUAGAUAACCUUUAAACCACAUGGUACUAAAGUGAAAAAAAGUGAAACACAAGGAAAGUAUUUGAAGUUUUCCCAAAAAAAAAAAAAAAAACCAAAAGCUCUCUCUCUUUCUCUCUCUCUCUCUAUAUAUAUAUAUAUUAAUGAAAUACUUUGAUAUUUAGUAUACUGAAUAGUCUGGUCUUUGGUUUUGGAUACAAGUUUUCAAGUUUUAUUUAGAUCAUAUUUGAUUUUCCGUAAGUGAAAUAACAAAAAUGGUGCUUUGAUUAAGUGGUAUUAUUCUAGUUGCUUGAUUUAUAAAAGUGAACAUGUAAAUUACUUUUAAAAAGUAAUCAAUAAAGUGGGUUAUAACUAAAAUUCAUUUUUUUGACUUCGACCUAAAUUCCGAAGUAGCGGCAACAAAUUAAGAAGAUUAUCUCCUAACAAGAAGAUCUCCUAUUCUAGCUGCCAAACAAGCAAGUUUAUCUCUCUAUCUCCAUGUUUUUUUUUUAUAUUUAUAUUUCUUGAUCUAAUUAUGUUAUGCAUUUAAUUUUCUAUUAUUAUGCUAUUUAAUCAAAGUUUUAUUCUGUGAUGUUGUUUACUUACAAAUUGCUAGCUUAUUAAUGUUUGUCUUUUCUUUUUCUUUUAUUCUUGUCCUUUUGAGGUAUAGUUAUUAUUUUGUGAUAUUUUUUCAUUUGGUACAUGUUGUUAUCUUUUCAUAAUUUGUUAUCUCGUUCAAAAUAGUUUAAAUUUGUGAAUGGAGAUGGAUUAUGAUAAGGAUGAAGAUUUUGACACAACUACAUUGACUAUCGUAAUUAUUUGUAUUAAUUUUCUAAAUAGAAUUUCUAAAAGUCAUAAACUGUACUUUUCUUUUUUUUAUAUUUUUUAAACCAAAUAAUCAAACUCAAAAAGUACUUUUUCGAAGGUCACGUUUUGAAAAAUGACUGUUUUCACUUCGACGACUUACGAGCAAUCAAACAUGCCCUUAGUAAGGCAGUUGCAGUUUUGAUUUCUAUACUUCCUUAGGGUAUGAUUUUAUUUUUGAUUUUUUUUUAUUAAGAUUUUAUGGAUACUGCCAAAAAUCAACAUGUUAAGUGGGGAGAGAAAUAGUUUUCGGCAGUAAAUACUUACUUCUAUUAUUUACUUCAUCUUUGCAUGAAACUCAAACUUUCUAAAAUAACGUAACUAAUUACAACGCACUUCAAUUUGAAGUCAAUUACGAAAAAAAAAAGUGAGAAAAAAAAAUAAAAUAUUAAUCAAUCUCUCAUACCUACAGCCAUUACGUCUUUCACUUCUUACAGAUGAAAGAAAAAUAUUUGCAUCUAAACUAUAAUUCAUCCGAAAACCUACUUUAAUCUGAGAUUUGUUGUCUAAAAUCCCUAACCAAACAACAUGGGAAAGAUGAAAGGAGUAGGUCUUGUGUGCUAUUAGGUGCACGGAGGCCUCCGUGCUUCUAAGCCGUUUUCGAUGAUGGAGCGUCCGAAUCGACGAUCGGCUCCGUUAGACUUGAUCGAGCGUACUUGAAGUAUCUAGAAAAUAAAUUUUGCGAUUUUUUGAUAUCAUUUACAUAGCGAUCGAAAGUGUUCAGAAUCAACGUUUGAAAAUAAAAAUCUCAAAAAGAGUGGUGAUAUAGCACUAAAAUUUUCGAUUUGAGAUAUUAAUCUUGCAGUAAAUAGUACAAAAUUUUUCUAUCAAAGUUUUAUCUGAUUCGAAUACAUCUACACCGUUAAACUUGUAAAUGAUAUACAUCAACCAUUACAAACUGUUAAUUUUUAAUCCAUUCGACCGCUAGGUAAAUGAUAUCAAAAAAUCGUAAAAAUUUAUUUUCUAAAUACUUAAAAUACACUAGAUUAAGUUUAACGAAGCCGAUCGUCGAUUCAGAAGUCCCAUCAUCGAAAACGGUUUAGAAACACGAUGACCUCCGUGCUCCUAAUAGCACACAAGACCUACUCAAGAUGAAAGCACUUCCCC
rnacentral:lncRNA from 1 species